UACAGAGGGGGCAAGCGUUGUUCGGAAUUACUGGGCGUAAAGGGCGCGUAGGCGGCCCGCUAAGUCGAACGUGAAAUCCCCAGGCUCAACCUGGGAACUGCGUCCGAUACUGGCAGGCUUGAAUCCGGGAGAGGGAUGUGGAAUUCCAGGUGUAGCGGUGAAAUGCGUAGAUAUCUGGAGGAACACCGGUGGCGAAGGCGGCAUCCUGGACCGGUAUUGACGCUGAGGCGCGAAAGCGUGGGAGCAAACAGG
rnacentral:rRNA from 1 species